rnacentral:rRNA from 1 species
AUUGAACGCUGGCGGCAGGCCUAACACAUGCAAGUCGAACGAGUGGCGGACGGGUGAGUAAUGUCUGGGAAACUGCCUGAUGGAGGGGGAUAACUACUGGAAACGGUAGCUAAUACCGCAUACCAUCGGAUGUGCCCAGAUGGGAUUAGCUAGUAGGUGGGGUAAAGGCUCACCUAGGCGACGAUCCCUAGCUGGUCUGAGAGGAUGACCAGCCACACUGGAACUGAGACACGGUCCAGACUCCUACGGGAGGCAGCAGUAGGGAAUAUUGCACAAUGGGCGAAAGCCUGAUGCAGCCAUGCCGCGUGUGUGAAGAAGGCCUUCGGGUUGUAAAGUUCUUUCAGCAGGGAGGCGUUACCCACAGAGAAAGCACCGGCUAACUCCGUGCCAGCAGCCGCGGUAAUUC